UGGUUUGCUGACAUCAGUGAAAUCUGCUGGGAAGGCUCUAGCUGCUAGAACCGCUGCAGAUGUACUCCCUUUUGUCCCGAAGCCAAAUUUUCUGAACCACACAAAUGGAGGAGGAGAGUCAACUGAGGCACACUGGCUUCAUUGAGUGCUAUUUCUGUGGCACUCUGCCCCUCUCAGCGCAGUCAGGUCCUUGACAAAGCAAAUCUCUUCAAAGUGCUGCUGAAAAUUUGAAAAUGGUUCCAAGGAGAGACAGAAGGAGGAUUCUUAGACUCUGAAAAGCAUGGCUAAUAGUAAAUCUCUAACAGUGCCAUCUCAUCACAAAACCACUUUGCAUUGUCUUGAAGACUGACUGUUUUCUGGCACUCCUUUGCAGUGACACCCAUCCUGUGAGAAUAUAGCAGCAGUCUCAAACAUCAAAGCUUCAGACUCAGCGCAGUGUCAAAAAACCAUGAAGCUUUAAGACUCAACCAAGCAUCAACCCCAAGCUGAGGCAGAAGCUUUUACUCAUGAGACCGCUGACUGAACGGAUUAGAGGCAACAAAGAAAAAACCCUCCACAAGUCUAAAAUUGCUGGUAGAAAAAUAAAUGACUAAACACAA